rnacentral:rRNA from 1 species
CAGCCGCCGCGGUAAUACGUAGGGGGCGAGCGUUGUCCGGAAUUAUUGGGCGUAAAGCGCGCGCAGGCGGUCCUUUAAGUCUGAUGUGAAAGCCCACGGCUCAACCGUGGAGGGUCAUUGGAAACUGGGGGACUUGAGUGCAGGAGAGGAGGGCGGAAUUCCACGUGUAGCGGUGAAAUGCGUAGAGAUGUGGAGGAACACCAGUGGCGAAGGCGGCUCUCUGGCCUGUAACUGACGCUGAGGCGCGAAAGCGGGGGGAGCAAACAGGAUUAGAUACCCUGGGAGUCCACGCCGUAAACGAUGAGUGCUAAGUGUUAGAGGGGUCACACCCUUUAGUGCUGCAGCUAACGCGAUAAGCACUCCGCCUGGGGAGUACGGCCGCAAGGCUGAAACUUAAAGGAAUUGGCGGG